rnacentral:rRNA from 1 species
CCUACGGGUGGCUGCAGUGGGGAAUAUUGGACAAUGGGCGAAAGCCUGAUCCAGCAAUGCCGCGUGUGUGAAGAAGGCCUGCGGGUUGUAAAGCACUUUUGUUCGGGAAGAAAACGGAUCGGUUAAUACCCGGUUCGGAUGACGGUACCGAAAGAAUAAGCACCGGCUAACUUCGUGCCAGCAGCCGCGGUAAUACGAAGGGUGCAAGCGUUAAUCGGAAUUACUGGGCGUAAAGCGUGCGUAGGCGGCUUCUUAAGUCGGAUGUGAAAUCCCCG